rnacentral:rRNA from 1 species
UACGGAGGAUCCAAGCGUUAUCCGGAUUUAUUGGGUUUAAAGGGUGCGUAGGCGGCCUGUUAAGUCAGGGGUGAAAGACGGUAGCUCAACUAUCGCAGUGCCCUUGAUACUGAUGGGCUUGAAUGGACUAGAGGUAGGCGGAAUGAGACAAGUAGCGGUGAAAUACAUAGAUAUGUCUCAGAACACCGAUUGCGAAGGCAGCUUACUAUGGUCUUAUUGACGCUGAGGCACGAAAGCGUGGGGAUCAAACAGG